AGAGAUUUGAAAUGUAUUUUUCAAUUCAAAAAUGGAUCCGUAGCAUUUAUGUAUCUAUCUAUCUAUCUCCCACGCCUAAACAUUCACAUUCUAUUUCUAUUCAUUCAUUCAUUCACACACAAAAUGCCAGGAAGUACGCCGGUGAGAAAGCCACACACUAACACCUCCGAUCUCCUCACUUGGUCCGAAGUCCCUCCGCCUGAAUCCUCCUUCACCCCCUCCUCCACCCGCUCUCGCCAGCCUUCUGAUAGAAUCAGUAAGGUUCUCAAUAGCGACCAGCUCACCGAAGAAGAAGCUCAGACUCUCACCCAAAGGUCUACAUCAUUUCCUAAAUAUUAACUCAUAACUCAGAUCAGAUCUUCUACUUUUUUCUUUCUUCACUUUCCUUUUUUUCAUCGUUCUUCGAUCUGAUUUAAUAUCUCUAUACUUUUCUGCAUAGAUCUGUUUCUUUAUUUGUAAUUCCAAGUAAUCUCAACAACACUGUGUUAGUAAUAUUAGAUAAAACUUUUUGCAUGAACUGUUCAAAUGAACCUACAUCAGCUUCCACAUUUUUGUUAUUA